AGGCAAGCAAACACUGUCACCAGCUGUCUGUCCAUCCAGAGGUGUUCCGUGAACGAGUGCGUGUGAGUGUCCACGUGCGUGUUUGUGUCCACCGUGAAGUCAUCUGCGGACAGAGUAGGACUACUUCUUAUUCCGAGAACUUUUCAAAAUAGGUAACACAUGCCCAUGUGUCACAAACAGUGCAAAGGAGAGUAAACACUGUCACCAGCUAUGUGCAUGUCUGUCCAUCCAGAGGUGUUCUGGGUGCGUGUGUAUAAAUGACUGCAUGGGCCAGAGACAGACGAGACAAGCCAGAGACAAGCCCUGACUCAGAGGCCCCUGCCCCCGGCAUUGAAGGCUCUUCCUCCUCUCACCACAGCAAAGCCCUUUCUCCAGGGACGGCCCAGCUCCACCCGGUCCUGGGCCCACUUGCAGCCCACUCUGGCAGGUUUAUCUACAUCACAUGGUGGGUGCCCCCAUCAGGGGCCUGACCUCUUUAAGCCAGGGACCUCUCAUGAGCUCAGGCCCUAUGCCCAACCAGCAUUUAUUAAUGUAGUAGGCAACCCCCAGGAGAGCCCCCAUCUGUCCUCAUCUCCUGGUGCUCAGCCCUCUGUAGGCCUUGCCACACUGAGUCAGAGCUGACUGGGUGUCAAGUAGGAAGUGGCAGCAGGUGAGGAGAUCAUAAAAAGGUAGCUCCUGCCUUGGUCUCUGAGACUGCUCAUGCUAGGGGAAGCCAGCCAUCGGACUGUGGAGACAGUCAGGAAGCCCCGAGGGGAUGCUCACGUGGACAGGACUGAGGCCUCCGCCAACAGGAGCAGCCGUGUUAUAGCUGUGUGAGCGCACCACCUGCAAGAGAUAAUUCAGAUAAUGCUGUUCUCGCUGAGGUCUUGACUGCAACCUCAAGAGAAACUCCAAGCCAGAACUUUCCGGCUGUAAGCCACUCCCAAAUUCUGCCUCUCCCCACCCAUU